UGCAAAAUAACAUGAGAUUUGGCCUUUUAAAAGUAUUUAAUUGCUGGGAUGGUGAAUCUGUCAUGAAAAAUCAGAAGACUUAUAUUAUGCACUGCUUUUUUGCCAGUUUAGACAUUCAACAAUACUUCCAGCUCUCCUUUCCAUUGCUUAGCAUGGAGCAACAAAUUCUACUCUGCUAUGUUGGGAUAAAACCACUGCUACCCAUGGAGGUGUAAGAGUGAAGCCUGCAUAGAUAAGUCUCAUUUCUGACUUCUACAGUUCAGGGCUGCAUUGCCUGGAGCUGCUUUCUUUCUCACGAUAUUUGUUCACCUUGUGACAACCAUUUGCUAGGAAAGACAAACAUCUUUGCUUUGCUGCUAAUCUACUGACUUCAACUCAACUCUGACUGGGAGUCCAGUGGUAUAGGAGCAUGAAAUCAUGUGGAUGGACACAUUUUCUGUAGAAAGAGAAUACCUUAUGAACAAAAAAUGGAAAAAGAAAAAAACUAACAACUUGCCAUAACAGUAAGACACUGCUACAGGUCAUGAUUUUGUGGCAUAAGCAUCAUGUCUAAAAUAUUUACUAUCCUUGAGGACCCAAGUUAAAGUUUAGACAGAAUCAGCUUAGACCUUCAUCCUGAAUUGUAAUAAAAUUCACAUAUGUGUUCUUUGCAGAUUUCAAAUGUGUAGCAUUUUUGGACUUGGCAUGGUUCUUCUGCUUAAGAGAAAAUAUACAAUGGACCAUAUAAGAUAAAGGCUUUGCACCAGAUAUUCUCCCCACCCCUGAUUUCCUUUUAACCAGGUAGUUUUCUGACCACAGAAUGUGCAAAGUGAUUCAAACUGAAAGUCACUAUUUAGGUACAGAAAUGUGAAAGCAUUACUUGUGUGGAGAGUGGCUAGGAAAAAAGAGAAAUUUCUGACCUACUGUGAUCUCUGUCUAGUUACCUCCAAAUUCAAAAUGAGGGAGGGGAGGAAAGCCUCUUCCAAUUCAUCUUAAUAAGAUGACAUAAGUUGGCAAGUCUUUACUUUUAUUACCCUGUCUACUCCAGCAUCCUCAGCUAGAAGUCAAAUUGUUGGCACAGAAACACCCACUUUUCUUGGUCUUGUUCCACUCUUCUUCCAGCUUGAGGACUCUAUAUAGGAUUAAUCUAAAGGCAGAAAAAAAGCACUAAGCAAAGCAAUAAAAAUAAUUAACCUAAGUUUGAUAGAGAUAUUUUCCCCUCCUUCUGCCAUUCCAUUGCUACAAAUGUGCAAACAUUUUUCCCUACAGCGGGAGGCUGAGAGGUGCUAUUUGCUUUACUGGAAUAUAGCUUCUCCCCACCCUCUCCUCUCCACUCUCUGUUUGGCCCUUAAGUCUUAAGGGCUGUCAUUAAGGGCUGCCUUAAUGUUACCGGAGUCCACUGUUGUUUCAAGCUAAUCUCAGGGAUCAGCUAAAGCCAUCAAAUCAGCCAUCUGCAGCUGUGCAGUGAGUCUAGAGGACUCCACUCCAAGUUCUUCAGCCUUUUUAAUUUUUAUCUUUUGGUCUUGUUUUGUUCAUGGCAUAUUUAUGACCAGUGGGAUUGAGAUGAAAAGUCUUUAUGUACAUACAUGAAAAAAAUCACUGCUAUACUAUUUUUUCUUUUUUCUUUUAAUGAUAUUUCAUUCCAACAAGCUCUUUCUAUCUAGACAGGGUUCUGCUUAAUUAGAUAUUUAAAUGAUUGGAGCAAUGCUGUUUCUUUAACUCCUAACUGCAACAAACACAUACGAAACACACUGUUGGCGGCAUUUAAUCAACAGCAGUCAAUUUAUCAUUUUCACAGUUUUAGUGAGUGGUUAUGAAUCACUAAAAUCACAGGUAUUGUAGAUGCAGCGUUGUGGCACUAUCAUUAACAAAUAUACAGUGCACAGAGGGAUGACUUGGUAAUUGAGUGGGACUAAUAAGAAUACAUCAUUUAGCUGUAUGUGACAAACUGUGCCUCAAAACACAGCCAUGGAAAAUUCACG